CACGCCACGAAGAAUGUUACCAAUAAGACAAAAUGUAGACUCACUCCAAUUGGAGCGAUCAGCAGCAUGCCGUGGUAUGCCAGCUGAAGAUAUGCUCACACAUAUACACAUAUUUAGGUAUACAUAUAAACACACAUCACAUCGGAAUGGAACAUAUGUAUAGAAGAUGAACGUUAGUUGACUUGGCACAGGAGUUUACACUUUGUUAUCUUAUGCUGAUGCUGAUGGGUUAUGAUUUCCUUUUGAGGAGCGCUGCCGGCGUUGCAAUUGAGAGGCUCCGAACACGACUAAGCAAACAUUUACCUAUUGUCAGACAAUAAAGCGGAAAACGUUGCUAUAAAAUUGAA